rnacentral:rRNA from 1 species
UACGGAGGGUGCAAGCGUUAUCCGGAUUCACUGGGUUUAAAGGGUGCGUAGGUGGGUCUGUAAGUCAGUGGUGAAAUCUUCGAGCUUAACUCGGAAACUGCCAUUGAUACUAUAGAUCUUGAAUUUUCUGGAGGUAAGCGGAAUAUGUCAUGUAGCGGUGAAAUGCUUAGAUAUGACAUAGAACACCAAUUGCGAAGGCAGCUCGCUACAGGAAUAUUGACACUGAGGCACGAAAGCGUGGGGAUCAAACAGG